UGAAUACGAGACGCUAAGGCGUCGAAGUAGUGUAUGUCAUACUUCCAAGAAAAGCUUGCACUGUCAUAGAUAAAAAACGCCUGUACCAUAACCGACACAGGUGGGUAGGUAGAGUAUACUAAGGGGCGCGAGAUAACUCUCUCUAAGGAACUCGGCAAAAUAACUCCGUAACUUCGGGAGAAGGAGUGCCUUAUUCGUAAGGUUGCAAUAACAAGAUCCAAGCAACUGUUUAUCAAAAACACAGGUCUCCGCUAAGUCGUAAGACGAUGUAUGGGGGCUGACGCCUGCCCAGUGCCAGAAGGUUAAAGAAGCUGGUUAGCAAUUGCGAAGCUGAUAACUGAAGCCCUGGUGAACGGCGGCCGUAACUAUAACGGUCCUAAGGUAGCGAAAUUCCUUGUCGGGUAAGUUCCGACCCGCACGAAAGGCGUAAUGAUUUGGAUACUGUCUCGGAGAGGGGCUCGGUGAAAUAGAUUUGUCUGUGAAGAUGCGGACUACCUGCACCAGGACAGAAAGACCCUAUGAAGCUUUACUGUAACUUGAAAUUGAAAUUGGACUUUAUUCGCGCAGUAUAGGUGGGAGGCGUUGAUUAUAAUCUUGUGGGAUUAUUGGAGCCAUCAGUGAGAUACCACUCUUGUAAUGUUAGAUUUCUAACUUUGAAUCAUUAUCUGGUCAAAGAACAGUUUCAGGCGGGCAGUUUGACUGGGGCGGUCGCCUCCUAAACGGUAACGGAGGCGUACAAAGGUUUCCUCUGAACGGUUAGAAAUCGUAUCUAGAGUGUAAAGGCAUAAGGAAGCUUGACUGUGAGACCUACAAGUCGAGCAGGGACGAAAGUCGGUCUUAGUGAUCUGACGGUACUGAGUGGAAAGGCCGUCACUCAACGGAUAAAGUUACUCUAGGAUAACAGGCUGAUCUCCCCCAAGAGUUCACAUCGACGGGGAGGUUUGGCACCUCGAUGUCGGCUCAUCGCAUCCUGGGGCGGUAGUACGUCCCAAGGGUUGGGCUGUUCGCCCAUGAAAGCGGUACGCGAGCUGGGUUCAGAACGUCGUGAGACAGUUCGGUCCAUAUCCGGUGUAGGCGUUAGAAUAUUGAGAGGAGCCUUCUUUAGUAUGAGAGGACCGAGAAGGACAUACCUCUGGUGUACCAGUUAUCGUGCCAACGGUAAACGCUGGGUAGCUAUGUAUGGAGUGGAUAACCGCUGAAAGCAUCUAAGUGGGAAGCCCACCUCAAGAUAAGUAUUCUCAC
rnacentral:rRNA from 1 species